CGCAUACGUCCUACGGGAGAAAGCAGGGGACCUUCGGGCCUUGCGCUAUCAGAUGAGCCUAGGUCGGAUUAGCUAGUUGGUGAGGUAAUGGCUCACCAAGGCGACGAUCCGUAACUGGUCUGAGAGGAUGAUCAGUCACACUGGAACUGAGACACGGUCCAGACUCCUACGGGAGGCAGCAGUGGGGAGUAUUGGACAAUGGGCGAAAGCCUGAUCCAGCCAGGCCGCGUGUGUGAAGAAGGUCUUCGGAUUGUA
rnacentral:rRNA from 1 species